AUGGAAUCGAUCCAACCGGUUUACAGUCCAAGCCAGACUUAUUGGAAUUACCUUUCACAGCAACCUAAUCCGGUGUUGAAGACCUCCAUAGUGCAGUUCUCACCCCAUCAUCGCGGGAUUCACGGGGAGCUGAGUGGCGAGCGGACAGGAAGUGACGUCAGGGGCUCAGAGAUGAAUUUCAUCUUGGCAUGGGUUAUGGCCGCAACAGUAGCCCGUGUUAGGGAUUAUUGUGCCUGUUGUGAGAUGAUAAUUAAAAACC